rnacentral:lncRNA from 1 species
GAGUGCUGGCCCAGUCAGAGGGGCCAGGUAGCUCCAGGUCGUACUCUGGAGGAACCCCAUACUGAACCCUUAUCAGAAGGAGUUCCUCUGAAGUCAAGGAACAUGGAAUAACGCCCGGUGCAAAAACCGGGCGAGGCCCAGCCCCGGACGCGGGUUCGUCCACAGAGACAGGGACCUGGGGUUUGAAGCAGAAGAACUCUCGGAACUGCUGGGAGCAGAAGAGCCAGAGGACAUUUUGAGUAGUUUCGAAGGGGGGAUCUAAAGGACCCUAAAAAGACGGACCGAAAGGGGAACGAGAGGCCGAAGACUAACUCAGAGGGAUGCACAAAAGUAAUGACGAGAAAAGAAGCUCCUAGGUGG